AUUCUUUUUCUGUGCAUGUCCGUGUGGCCACUAGUUAGGGAAUUGCAGUUGGGAGGUGCACGUUCAGUGAGGUGAAAGUUCAGGCCCCAGGUGCUUCAACAUCUCUCCUUUUAUGGAGAAACCUGACCUGAAUGUCCUCAGAUAACAUCCAGCUGAGUUGAUGAAAAAUGUAUGAAAUACAAUCAGCAUUAAAGAGCCAUUAUAAACACCACUAACUAGCAUGGAAUAUAUUG